rnacentral:sRNA from 1 species
AGCUCAGUGAGACACUGCGCUGACCUGACGGGCUCAUUGACGCAGCUCACGACACCGAGGCAACAGCCACAGACUACCGCACCACAUUUCACCCGGGUAUCCACGAGGUCUAUGUGGAGCUGCAGGAGCUGGUGAUGGACGAAAAGAACCAGGAGCUGAGAUGGAUGGAGGCGGCGCGCUGGGUGCGACUGGAGGAGAACCUGGGGGAGAACGGGGCCUGGGGCCGCCCGCACCUCUCUCACCUCACCUUCUGGAGCCUCCUAGAGCUGCGUAGAGUCUUCACCAAGGGUACUGUCCUCCUAGACCUGCAAGAGACCUCCCUGGCUGGAGUGGCCAACCAACUGCUAGACAGGUUUAUCUUUGAAGACCAGAUCCGGCCUCAGGACCGAGAGGAGCUGCUCCGGGCCCUGCUGCUCAAACACAG